rnacentral:tRNA from 1 species
GGAGAGGUGCCAGAGUGGUUGAUCGGGGCGCUCUCGAAAAGCGUUGUGCAGUAACCCUGCACCGUGGGUUCGAAUCCCACCCUCUCCG